UACGAAGGGGGGCUAGCGUUGCUCGGAAUCACUGGGCGUAAAGCGCACGUAGGCGGACUCUUAAGUCAGGGGGUGAAAUCCUGGAGCUCAACUCCAGACUGCCUUUGAUACUGAGGAUCUUGAGUUUGGGAGAGGUGAGUGGAACUGCGAGUGUAGAGGUGAAAUUCGUAGAUAUUAGGAAGAACACCAGUGGCGAAGGCGGCUCACUGGCCCGGUACUGACGCUGAGGCGCGAAAGCGUGGGGAGCAAACAGG
rnacentral:rRNA from 1 species